UACGGAGGGUGCAAGCGUUAUCCGGAUUCACUGGGUUUAAAGGGUGCGUAGGCGGGUAUGUAAGUCAGUGGGGAAAUCCCCGAGCUUAACUCGGGAACUGCCAUUGAUACUAUAUAUCUUGAAUAUCCUGGAGGUCUGCGGAAUAUGUCAUGUAGCGGUGAAAUGCUUAGAGAUGACAUAGAACAUCGAUUGCGAAGGCAGCAGGCUACGGGAUGAUUGACGCUGAGGCACGAAAGCGUGGGGAUCAAACAGG
rnacentral:rRNA from 1 species